AGUUACUGUAGUACUGUUUAAUUGCAUUCCUGAUUGAUUUCAGAUGUCAAGAAAGGUCAGGCCUAAUCAGUACUUAGAUGGGCAAACUCCCAAGAAACCUGAUACAGUGCAUG
ensembl:rRNA 5S_rRNA 5S ribosomal RNA